rnacentral:rRNA from 1 species
GCUACUGCUAUCAGAGUUCGAUUAAGCCAUGUUAGUCGAGGGAGCCUCUUCUUCGGAAGAGGCAACCGGCGGACGGCUCAGUAACACGUCGUCAACCCACCUUAGGGUGGGGGACAACCUCGGGAAACUGAGGAUAAUCCCCCAUAGGCGGGGGAGGCUAGAAUGCGCCCCCGCUGAAAGCUCAGGCGCCCUAGGACGGGACGGCGGCCUAUCAGGUAGUUGGUGGUGUGACG